rnacentral:rRNA from 1 species
AGGACGAACGCUGGCGGCGUGCUUAACACAUGCAAGUCGAACGGAAAGGCCCUUCGGGGUACUCGAGUGGCGAACGGGUGAGUAACACGUGGGUGAUCUGCCUCGUACUUUGGGAUAAGCCUGGGAAACUGGGUCUAAUACCGAAUAUGACCUUCCCUCGCAUGGGGGUUGGUGGAAACUUUUUUGGGUACGAGAUGGGCCCGCGGCCUAUCAGCUUGUUGGUGGGGUAAUGGCCUACCAAGGCGACGACGGGUAGCC